rnacentral:tRNA from 2 species
GCGGGCGUGGCGAAACUGGUAGACGCGCGAGAUUUAGGUUCUCGUGAGCUUGCUCGUGGGGGUUCAAGUCCCUCCGCCCGCACCA